ensembl:piRNA 21ur-1944 ncRNA
UUCGACAAGAUUUUUCUGCUG